rnacentral:tRNA from 1 species
AUCUCUCUAGUGUAAUGGCAGCACAACGGUCUCCAACACCGUUUGUCAGGGUUCGAGUCCUUGGGGGGAUGCCA